rnacentral:rRNA from 1 species
AGCGAACGCUGGCGGCAGGCCUAAUACAUGCAAGUCGAGCGGUCCCUUCGGGGGCAGCGGCGGACGGGUGAGUAACGCGUGGGAAUGUGCCCUUUGGUACGGAACAACUGAGGGAAACUU